CAGCAGCCGCGGUAAUACAGAGGGUGCGAGCGUUAAUCGGAUUUACUGGGCGUAAAGCGUGCGUAGGCGGUUUGUUAAGUCUGCUGUGAAAUCCCCGGGCUCAACCUGGGAAUGGCAGUGGAUACUGGCAAGCUAGAGUGUGUCAGAGGAUGGUGGAAUUCCCGGUGUAGCGGUGAAAUGCGUAGAGAUCGGGAGGAACAUCAGUGGCGAAGGCGGCCAUCUGGGACAACACUGACGCUGAGGCACGAAAGCGUGGGGAGCAAACAGGAUUAGAGACCCCCGUAGUCCCUGUCUCUUAUAC
rnacentral:rRNA from 1 species